AACGCUGAAGCCGACAGCUUGCUGUUGGUGGAUGAGUGGCGAACGGGUGAGUAACACGUGAGUAACCUGCCCCUGAUUUCGGGAUAAGCCUGGGAAACUGGGUCUAAUACCGGAUACGACCACCUGACGCAUGUCGGGUGGUGGAAAGUUUUUCGAUCGGGGAUGGGCUCGCGGCCUAUCAGCUUGUUGGUGGGGUAAUGGCCCACCAAGGCGACGACGGGUAGCCGGCCUGAGAGGGCGACCGGCCACACUGGGACUGAGACACGGCCCAGACUCCUACGGGAGGCAGCAGUGGGGAAUAUUGCACAAUGGGGGAAACCCUGAUGCAGCGACGCAGCGUGCGGGAUGACGGCCUUCGGGUUGUAAACCGCUUUCAGCAGGGAAGAAGCGAAAGUGACGGUACCUGCAGAAGAAGUACCGGCUAACUACGUGCCAGCAGCCGCGGUAAUACGUAGGGUACGAGCGUUGUCCGGAAUUAUUGGGCGUAAAGAGCUCGUAGGUGGUUGGUCACGUCUGCUGUGGAAACGCAACGCUUAACGUUGCGCGUGCAGUGGGUACGGGCUGACUAGAGUGCAGUAGGGGAGUCUGGAAUUCCUGGUGUAGCGGUGAAAUGCGCAGAUAUCAGGAGGAACACCGGUGGCGAAGGCGGGACUCUGGGCUGUAACUGACACUGAGGAGCGAAAGCAUGGGGAGCGAACAGGAUUAGAUACCCUGGUAGUCCAUGCCGUAA
rnacentral:rRNA from 1 species